rnacentral:rRNA from 1 species
UGGCGAACGGGUGAGUAACGCGUGGGGAACCUGCCUCAAAGAGGGGGACAACAGUUGGAAACGACUGCUAAUACCGCAUAAGCCCACGACCCGGCAUCGGGUAGAGGGAAAAGGAGCAAUCCGCUUUGAGAUGGCCUCGCGUCCGAUUAGCUAGUUGGUGAGGUAACGGCCCACCAAGGCGACGAUCGGUAGCCGGACUGAGAGGUUGAACGGCCACAUUGGGACUGAGACACGGCCCAG